AGAGUUUGAUCCUGGCUCAGGAUGAACGCUAGCGGCAGGCCUAACACAUGCAAGUCGAGGGGUAGAAGAAGCUUGCUUUUUUGAGACCGGCGCACGGGUGAGUAACGCGUAUGCAACCUACCUUAUACAGGGGAAUAGCCCGAAGAAAUUCGGAUUAAUGCUCCAUGGUUUAUCGAUAUGGCAUCGUAUUGAUAAUAAAGAUUUAUCGGUAUAAGAUGGGCAUGCGUAUCAUUAGCUAGUUGGUAUGGUAACGGCAUACCAAGGCGACGAUGAUUAGGGGUCCUGAGAGGGAGAUCCCCCACACUGGUACUGAGACACGGACCAGACUCCUACGGGAGGCAGCAGUGAGGAAUAUUGGUCAAUGGAGGCAACUCUGAACCAGCCAUGCCGCGUGCAGGAUGACGGUCCUAUGGAUUGUAAACUGCUUUUGUACAGGAAGAAACCUCCCUACGUGUAGGGACUUGACGGUACUGUAAGAAUAAGGAUCGGCUAACUCCGUGCCAGCAGCCGCGGUAAU
rnacentral:rRNA from 1 species